rnacentral:rRNA from 1 species
CCCUUAGAUGUCCGGGGCUGCACGCGCGCUACACUGAAGGAAUCAGCGUGCUAAAACCAUUGUCGAAAGGCAUUGGUAAACCCAUUAAAAUCCUACGUGAUUGGGAUCGGGAAUUGCAAUUAUUUCCCUUGAACGAGGAAUUCCCAGUAAGUGUGGGUCAUAAGCUCGCGUUGAUUACGUCCCUGCCCUUUGUACACGCCGCCCGUCGCUGCCCGGGACUGAGCCGUUUCGAGAAAAGCGGGGACUGCUGCUGUCGGGGCUUUCGGGCCUUGGCUUCGGUGGAAACCGCUUUAAUCGCAGUGGCUUGAACCGGGCAAAAGUCGUAACA